AAUUUUUUUUUUUCCCCUCAAUUAAAAAAAGGGGGGGGGGGGGGGGGCCCAACCCCCCCCGGGGGGGAAAAAUUUUUUGGGGGGUAAAUUUUCCCGCCCUUUUUAUUUUUUUUUUGGGGGAAAAAAAAAAGGGGGGGGGCCCCUUUUAAGGGCCCAAAAGGCGUUUUUGAAAGGAGCCCCGGGGUAAAAGAUAAGGUUAUGUGGGGGGGGGAAAAGGGCCUCCCCCAAGGGGGACGGUUUUUUAGGUUGUUUGGGAAGGAAUGUUUAACCCCACCCUGGGGAUUAAGACCCGGGCCCCAAAUUCCUACGGGAGGGCAGCAGUGGGGAAAUAUUGGACCAAGGGGCGCAAGCCUGAUUCCCAGCAAUGCCCGGGUUUUGCGAUGAAGGCCUUUGGGGUCGUAAAGCACUUUCAAUGGGGGAGGAAAUCCACAGGGGUAAUAAAUUCUGUGCCUGGACGUUAUCCAUACAAGAAGCACCGGCUAACUCUGUGCCAGCAGCCGCGGUAAUACAGAGGGUGCAAGCGUUAAUCGGAGUUACUGGGCGUAAAGCGUACGUAGGCUGACAUAAAAGUCAGAUGUGAAAUCCCUGGGCUCAACCUAGGAACUGCACUUGAAACUAUAUGUCUAGAGUAUGGUAGAGGGAAGUGGAAUUUCCGGUGUAGCGGUGAAAUGCAUAGAUAUCGGAAGGAACAUCAGUGGCGAAGGCGACUUCCUGGACCAAUACUGACGCUGAGGUACGAAAGCAUGGGGAGCAAACAGGAUUAGAUACCCUGGUAGUCCAUGCCGUAAACGAUGAGAACUAGGUGUUGGGUAGUUUACUACUUAGUGCCGCAGCUAACGCAUUAAGUUCUCCGCCUGGGGAGUACGGCCGCAAGGCUAAAACUUAAAGGAAUUGACGGGGGCCCGCACAAGCGGUGGAGCAUGUGGUUUAAUUCGAUGCAACGCGAAAAACCUUACCUACCCUUGAUAUCCUUGGAAUCUUUUAGAGAUAGAAGAGUGCCUUCGGGAACCAAGUGACAGGUGCUGCAUGGCUGUCGUCAGCUCGUGUCGUGAGAUGUUAGGUUAAGUCCUGUAACGAGCGCAACCCCUAUCCUUAGUUGCCAGCACGUAAUGGUGGGAACUCUAAGGAAACUGCCGGUGACAAACCGGAGGAAGGUGGGGACGAGGUCAAGUCAUCAUGGCCCUCACGGGUAGGGCUACACACGUGCUACAAUGGACAGUACAAUGGGAAGCGAAGCCGCGAGGUGGAGCAAAUCCCACAAAGCUGUUCUCAGUCCGGAUUAGAGUCUGCAACUCGACUCCAUGAAGUAGGAAUCGCUAGUAAUCGCGAAUCAGCAUGUNCGUCUUGGAAUGGCCC
rnacentral:rRNA from 1 species